CUUUGCAGGUCAUUGAAGAACUUUAAUCAGGGAAGUGAUGUAACAGAAUUUUGGAAGGGUCACCCUGGCUACGGUGUAACCUAGAAUGACUCAGAAGAGAUAAGACUAGAGGCAGAGAUACUAGCUAAGAAGCUGUUGCAACAAUGAAAGAAGAAAUGAUGAGAACCUAAACUAAGGCAAUACUAAUAGAAGCAAAGAGAAGGGAAGAGAUUUCACAAGUUUAUAAGAAGAAAGUGGUAGGACUUGAAAGUUAAUUGGAUGUAAAGACCAAAGCAAGGGGCAGUCAAGGAUGGCUCCUGGAUUUCUGGCUUGAGAGACUAGGUGGAUGAAAGAGCAGGUAGAAUGAGAAAGAUGAUGCUUUCAGUUUGGGAUAGGUCAAGUUUUGGGUCCCUUAUAGGUCUUUCAGGGAGAAAUGUCUAGCAGGGAUUUGGAUAGAAAUGUCUGGCACUCAGGAGAAAUAGAGAUGAGAACACCAAAGACAGAAUAUAUGGUUCUUCUAGAAGAUCCACUUUCAAUUUUACUAAAGUGAAUGACCCACUUUGAUGAAAAGAAUAAUGACUUCUAAGGUCUCUUACAACUCUAAUGUUACAAUUCUAUUGUUCCAUCUGGAAUUGCCUUUUGAAGACAGCACACCUGUGGCCUAAAACUUCCUUGGUGAACAUGUGAAAUAUUUUUUAAUGAAAGCCCAUUACAUAUAAAGCCAUACAACCCCAAACAUGCAGUGAUAAUGCUUAUAGCAAAGAAAAACCAAGUAAAGACACUAUCUACAUUUACCUACUCUGAUCCCAAUUGGCUGCAAACAGCAAAAGAAUCUUCCUGCCGUAAUGGUCUCGGUUUUCCAGCACCCCGGGGAACCCAUCGAUCAGAGCCCUCUUAAUGCCGGGAUCAUCUGCCUUGAAGUUUUUGAACAUGUCCAGGUUUAGCUGGCGGUACUGGAAAUACUGAGCCAGGAGUCUAAAGGCAUCCGCUUGGUGAAACUUCCUGGCUCGGAGAAAUCUCAGGAUGAAGGCAUCAUCUGGAUCCUGCAAUAGACAGAAGAAAGAUAAUUCCCUGGGAAGUGCUGAGAUCCAUGUAACCGUGACCCUUCUUCUGGAUGUGAUUGCACAGACAAUGGCAGCAGUGGGAAUCACAGCUAAGAAAACUGCCUGGGAAAAGUAAAACACAUCAGCAAGCUUAAGGGGUGGUCCAUGCAUCAGCAGUGGCAGCAGAACCCAGGACCUUGUUAGUGACACAGCAUGUCAGGACUCACUUAGACCUACUGAACAGCUGGCAUCAAGACUUUUAUAUUGGAGGAGCCAAGAUGGCCGAAUAGGAACAGCUCCGGUCUACAGCUCCCAGCGUGAGCGACGCAGAAGAGGGUGAUUUCUGCAUUUCCAUCUGAGAAACCCCAAUUCCCACCAACUUCAGAUCUCCAUUCCUACCAACUUCAGCUCUGCUGGUAUGUGGACAUCAGAGAAGGGGGAACUGGAAACUGAACUCUGACCAUAUCAUUCUGUGUUCUAAAUGUCUUCCUGAGGGGCCUGGAGGAAGUUACACUCACAAGCCAGAGCUAACAUUCUUUUCUGCUGACCCCAAAUUUUAAAAUAAAGCUUCUCUUCCUUAACCAAUUGCAAUUCAAAAAAUCUUUGAAUCUGACUACGGUCUGUAAGCCUCCACUUCAAGAUAUCCUGCCCUUUUAGGGCGAAACCAAUGUGUAACCUUGAUGUAUUGAUUUACGAUUUUGCCUGUAACUUCUGCUUUCCUGAAAUUUACUCCUGCUGUUAAAAGACACUUACCUGUAAGCUACUGGGGAGGUCAGGACUCAAGCAUUAGCUGCUUGAUCCUCCUUGCUUGGCACCCUGAAAAUAAAUGCCUUCCAUUUUUCCCACUGCAAUCUUCGGUGUGCAUAUCUGGUAUUACUGCACCAGGUGAGCAGACCCCAUUUCAUAUCGUUAAACUCAGAGAAAGUUCCAAUUUGGAGCUAGAACAUUCAGC
rnacentral:lncRNA from 1 species